CAGCAGCCACGGUAAUACGUAGGUCCCGAGCGUUGUCCGGAUUUAUUGGGCGUAAAGCGAGCGCAGGCGGUUAGAUAAGUCUGAAGUUAAAGGCUGUGGCUUAACCAUAGUACGCUUUGGAAACUGUUUAACUUGAGUGCAAGAGGGGAGAGUGGAAUUCCAUGUGUAGCGGUGAAAUGCGUAGAUAUAUGGAGGAACACCGGUGGCGAAAGCGGCUCUCUGGCUUGUAACUGACGCUGAGGCUCGAAAGCGUGGGGCGCAAACAGGAUUAGAUACCCCCGUAGUCCCUGUCUCUUAUACA
rnacentral:rRNA from 1 species